rnacentral:rRNA from 1 species
CGGGACACGUGGUAUCCUGUCUGAAUAUGGGGGGACCAUCCUCCAAGGCUAAAUACUCCUGACUGACCGAUAGUGAACCAGUACCGUGAGGGAAAGGCGAAAAGAACCCCGGCGAGGGGAGUGAAAAAGAACCUGAAACCGUGUACGUACAAGCAGUGGGAGCACGCUUAGGCGUGUGACUGCGUACCUUUUGUAUAAUGGGUCAGCGACUUAUAUUCUGUAGCAAGGUUAACCGAAUAGGGGAGCCGAAGGGAAACCGAGUCUUAACUGGGCGUUAAGUUGCAGGGUAUAGACCCGAAACCCGGUGAUCUAGCCAUGGGCAGGUUGAAGGUUGGGUAACACUAACUGGAGGACCGAACCGACUAAUGUUGAAAAAUUAGCGGAUGACUUGUGGCUGGGGGUGAAAGGCCAAUCAAACCGGGAGAUAGCUGGUUCUCCCCGAAAGCUAUUUAGGUAGCGCCUCGUGAAUUCAUCUCCGGGGGUAGAGCACUGUUUCGGCAAGGGGGUCAUCCCGACUUACCAACCCGAUGCAAACUGCGAAUACCGGAGAAUGUUAUCACGGGAGACACACGGCGGGUGCUAACGUCCGUCGUGAAGAGGGAAACAACCCAGACCGCCAGCUAAGGUCCCAAAGUCAUGGUUAAGUGGGAAACGAUGUGGGAAGGCCCAGACAGCCAGGAUGUUGGCUUAGAAGCAGCCAUCAUUUAAAGAAAGCGUAAUAGCUCACUGGUCGAGUCGGCCUGCGCGGAAGAUGUAACGGGGCUAAACCAUGCACCGAAGCUGCGGCAGCGACGCUGAUGCGUUGUUGGGUAGGGGAGCGUUCUGUAAGCCUGUGAAGGUGUGCUGUGAGGCAUGCUGGAGGUAUCAGAAGUGCGAAUGCUGACAUAAGUAACGAUAAAGCGGGUGAAAAGCCCGCUCGCCGGAAGACCAAGGGUUCCUGUCCAACGUUAAUCGGGGCAGGGUGAGUCGACCCCUAAGGCGAGGCCGAAAGGCGUAGUCGAUGGGAAACAGGUUAAUAUUCCUGUACUUGGUGUUACUGCGAAGGGGGGACGGAGAAGGCUAUGUUGGCCGGGCGACGGUUGUCCCGGUUUAAGCGUGUAGGCUGGUUUUCCAGGCAAAUCCGGAAAAUCAAGGCUGAGGCGUGAUGACGAGGCACUACGGUGCUGAAGCAACAAAUGCCCUGCUUCCAGGAAAAGCCUCUAAGCAUCAGGUAACAUCAAAUCGUACCCCAAACCGACACAGGUGGUCAGGUAGAGAAUACCAAGGCGCUUGAGAGAACUCGGGUGAAGGAACUAGGCAAAAUGGUGCCGUAACUUCGGGAGAAGGCACGCUGAUAUGUAGGUGAAGCGACUUGCUCGUGGAGCUGAAAUCAGUCGAAGAUACCAGCUGGCUGCAACUGUUUAUUAAAAACACAGCACUGUGCAAACACGAAAGUGGACGUAUACGGUGUGACGCCUGCCCGGUGCCGGAAGGUUAAUUGAUGGGGUCAGCGCAAGCGAAGCUCUUGAUCGAAGCCCCGGUAAACGGCGGCCGUAACUAUAACGGUCCUAAGGUAGCGAAAUUCCUUGUCGGGUAAGUUCCGACCUGCACGAAUGGCGUAAUGAUGGCCAGGCUGUCUCCACCCGAGACUCAGUGAAAUUGAACUCGCUGUGAAGAUGCAGUGUACCCGCGGCAAGACGGAAAGACCCCGUGAACCUUUACUAUAGCUUGACACUGAACAUUGAGCCUUGAUGUGUAGGAUAGGUGGGAGGCUUUGAAGUGUGGACGCCAGUCUGCAUGGAGCCGGCCUUGAAAUACCACCCUUUAAUGUUUGAUGUUCUAACGUUGACCCGUGAUCCGGGUUGCGGACAGUGUCUGGUGGGUAGUUUGACUGGGGCGGUCUCCUCCUAAAGAGUAACGGAGGAGCACGAAGGUUGGCUAAUCCUGGUCGGACAUCAGGAGGUUAGUGCAAUGGCAUAAGCCAGCUUGACUGCGAGCGUGACGGCGCGAGCAGGUGCGAAAGCAGGUCAUAGUGAUCCGGUGGUUCUGAAUGGAAGGGCCAUCGCUCAACGGAUAAAAGGUACUCCGGGGAUAACAGGCUGAUACCGCCCAAGAGUUCAUAUCGACGGCGGUGUUUGGCACCUCGAUGUCGGCUCAUCACAUCCUGGGGCUGAAGUAGGUCCCAAGGGUAUGGCUGUUCGCCAUUUAAAGUGGUACGCGAGCUGGGUUUAGAACGUCGUGAGACAGUUCGGUCCCUAUCUGCCGUGGGCGCUGGAGAACUGAGGGGGGCUGCUCCUAGUACGAGAGGACCGGAGUGGACGCAUCACUGGUGUUCGGGUUGUCAUGCCAAUGGCACUGCCCGGUAGCUAAAUGCGGAAGAGAUAAGUGCUGAAAGCAUCUAAGCACGAAACUUGCCCCGAGAUGAGUUCUCCCUGACUCCUUGAGAGUCCUGAAGGAACGUUGAAGACGACGACGU